AUUCCAGCUCCAAUAGCGUAUAUUAAAGUUGUUGCAGUUAAAAAGCUCGUAGUUGGAUUUCUGGCAGGAGUGACUGACCACAAACUCUGUUUGUGAGUUGUGUCAUUCUGGCCAUCCUUGGUAAGAUCCUUUUUGGCAUUAAGUUGUCGGGAAGGGGAUGACCAUCGUUUACUGUGAAAAAAUUAGAGUGUUUAAAGCAGGCUUAUGCCGUUGAAUAUAUUAGCAUGGAAUAAUAAGAUAGGACUUUGAGUCUAUUUUGUUGGUUUGCGAGUCAAAGUAAUGAUUAAUAGGGAUAGUCAGGGGCACUCGUAUUCCGCCGAGAGAGGUGAAAUUCUCAGACCAGCGGAAGACGAACCACUGCGAAAGCAUUUGCCAGGGAUGUUUUCAUUG
rnacentral:rRNA from 1 species